UACGUAGGGUGCGAGCGUUGUCCGGAAUUAUUGGGCGUAAAGAGCUCGUAGGCGGUCUGUCGCGUCGGUCGUGAAAACUUGGGGCUUAACCCUGAGCUUGCGGUCGAUACGGGCAUGACUGGAGUUCGGCAGGGGAGACUGGAAUUCCUGGUGUAGCAGUGAAAUGCGUAGAGAUCAUGAGGAAGACCAGUGGCGAAGGCGGGUCUCGU
rnacentral:rRNA from 1 species